rnacentral:rRNA from 1 species
CUACGGGGGGCAGCAGUUAGGAAUAAUCUACAAUGCGCGCAAGCGUGAUAGUUUGAGCCAGAGUGCGUUUCAUUUGAAACGCUUUUGCUGAAUGUAAAAAGUUCGGCGAAUAAGGACUGGGUAAGACGAGUGCCAGCCGCCGCGGUAAUACUCGCGGUCCAAGUCGCAGCCAUUUUUAUUGGGUCUAAAACAUCCGUAGCUUGUUUUGUAAGUUUCUUGUGAAAUCUGAUAUCUUAAGUAUUGGGCGUGCAAGAAAUACUGCAGAGCUAGAGACUGGGAGACGGAAGAAGUAUGUUCAAAGUAGCGGUAAAAUGUGUUAAUCUUGAGCGGACUCACAAUAGCGAAGGCAUCUUCCGAGAACAGUUCUGACAGUAAGGGAUGAAGGCCAGGGGCGCAAAACGGAUUAGAUACCCGAGUAGUC